UACGUAGGGUGCAAGCGUUGUCCGGAAUUAUUGGGCGUAAAGAGCUCGUAGGCGGUUUGUUGCGUCGGCUGUGAAAUCCCGAGGCUCAACCUCGGGUCUGCAGUCGAUACGAGCAAACUAGAGUGUUGCAGGGGAGACUGGAAUUCCUGGUGUAGCGGUGAAAUGCGCAGAUAUCAGGAGGAACACCAGUGGCGAAGGCGGUUCUCUGGGCAUGUCCUGACGCUGAGGAGCGAAAGUGUGGGGAGCGAACCGG
rnacentral:rRNA from 1 species